rnacentral:sRNA from 1 species
GGGGGGAUGACCACCAGUAUUCCGGAGUGCUGUCGCUGGCCUUCGGGCAAUGUGCACGUCUCCCGAGUCCGACGGUAUCCCCUGCCGAAGCUCCGAUACCUCUCGAACACCCGUGUGCACCUGUUGUAGGUCUCGUCAGUGGGACCUAUGUAUUCCAUUAUAAACUCGCAUGUAUACAGAACGUUGUCUAGUCAUAAUAUAACUUUCAGCAACGGAUCUCUUGGCUCUCGCAUCGAUGAAGAACGCAGCGAAUCGCGAUAAGUAAUGUGAAUUGCAGAUUUUCCGUGAAUCAUCGAAUCUUUGAACGCACCUUGCGCUCCUCGGUAUUCCGAGGAGCAUGCCUGUUUGAGUGUCAUCGAAAUCUCAAAACCUAGCUUUGCUUCGUCGGAGCUCGGUUUUGGACUUUUGGGAGUCUGCGGGCGACCCCCUUUGCUUGGGACGUCGGCUCUCCUCAAAUGCAUUAGCGGUGGGCGCGAGCCUUUGCACGGCACGGCCUGUUCGACGUCGUAGUGAUCGUCGCGGGCUGGAAGUGCUCGGAUCGACAUGUCUCAUGCUUCCAACCAUUUUAUUAGCCUAUGCAAGGCUAGUAAAUUAA